UUCGCCCACCACGUGACAAUCGCCAACAACACUUCUCUGCAAGCUCCUCUGGAUCCGAAAGCGACCAAUCCUACAAUCAAUACAACUCCCAACCUUUUUUAGGACGAGGACGGACACGCCAACGCUACAACAGAAACGGACGCGGAGGGGCAAAAGGCACCGAUACCGACAACAGAAUACAGACUCGCUCUCAGGCUCCCUAGUUGGAUUAUAAUCAUAGUCAAUAUACAAGUUGAUCCCUUGAGAAAGGUCUUGACAGGACCGAAACGUUGGGAUACAUUAUGGCCUACGAAUAUAUGAUUUAUAUGCUUGUACUAUAAUCAUGGCGCGAUUAGUCAUAUAUUGACAAUUCUUCUGAAUUUUCUGUA